ensembl:snoRNA
AGACUCCCAGUGCUUACCAGAGGCUGUGUUAACACUGACUGACUGUAUAGAAAAAGGAGGCACAGUAAAAUCACUCCAUAUACAUCUCAGCCCAGGCUCUUUGCCUGGUCUAUAUUAUUUGUGGGAGCAAAAGG